CAAGCUCUCGGAAAAGAGAGGCCUGGAAGGUGGUCAGCAGAGCCAUUUGGAACCAAUCCUGAUAAAAGGAUUCAAACCUAUGAGGAAAGAGCUUAUCCCCCUCCACCCAUAUGACACAUCCCACAUUUUGGCUGGAAACCCAUAUAUUAUGAAGACCAUUGUAAGUACUGAGCCUAAAGCCUUCUUCAUCUGCUUCUGAUUUGCAUAAUGCUGAUGCUUCUAUCUCUGUGGACUAUCAUUUGACUCUAUGGGAGAAUUUAUUCAAUAAGAUAAACAAACAGCUUGCUAUUCCAGAAAAAAUUUUUUUUAAAUAUUGCCCAUUGUCUAAGUCUGUUGCAAAGUUCUGUGAUUCCCCUUUAAAAGUGGAUGCAUCGGAUACACACGUCUAAAAGAAUGCUAUUUCCUAUGG